UUGGGGGUCCCCCUGAUUUGGGGGUCCCCCUCGGUUUUCGGGGCGCAGCUGCUGAAGAAGAUGAGCUCCAGUGACACCCCGCUGGGCACGGUGGCGCUGCUGCAGGAGAAGCAGCGCGCGCAGAAGACGCCGUACAUCGUGCUGAGCGGCUCCGGCAAGAGCAUGAACGCGAACACCAUCACCAAGUGAGGGACACCUGGGGACACCUUGGGGACAUCGCCAGACACCCUGGGGACACCCUGGGACUCCUCAGGACACCCCUGGAACCCUGGGGUCACCCUGGGGACACCCCUGGGGACAUUCCUGUGACAUUCCUGGAACCCUGGGGACACCCCUGUCCCCUCCCCGCCCCUGGGGACAAUAAAAGCCUCCGGGAGUCA